UUUGUCACCUUGUCUUUGUUACGAUGCAGGUUACACACCUUUGUGUCCCAUCACAAUUUAACCAAACUAUGCCCUGUGGAAGAUUCUACAAGGCCACAUCUAAUGGAAGCAAUGAGCACAGCGGUAUUAAACUCAAAGAUCACAGUGAAAGCUGUAGCCCACAGUGUUGCUCACGAUUUCAGAGGAGAAUUGAAAAUGAGGAGGAAUGGAAUAUUCGCAAGUGUCUACUUGUCAACAAAGCGUGCCAGGUGUGUUCUCUCAUCUCCGGGGAUCAGCAGCUUCCUGUAAUCUCCCUUUAUGCCUUUCAUUCACUCUAAUCACAAGGAUUUUACAAGAGGCCCUCCUUGACCCCAGGCAUGAGCUCGGCCCUUUAUUUGUAAGUGAACUCAGCAGUGUUCACUUAACACUUUUAAGGAUCUGCGCCCAGGGAAGGGGAAGCGUGGUCAGACAGCAGGCUCUCUGAACUCACCUUUCUGGACAAAGAUCUCCCUAGGCAUUGUACACGCCUCCUUCUUUUCUUUCCCCUUGAGCUGUCCGGGUUUCACAGCAAGUUAUAAAGCGAAGAGCCUCACCUGCCUUUGAGACCACCUCCCCUUGGCCCAGCUCAGUAGCUGGUCCUCAGGUAAGUGCAUGUUAAGUUCCCAGACUGUUCCAGAGAGGGUGACCGACUGUCCUGGUUUGCCAGGACUCUCCUGCCUGGGAGACCUCCCAGUGUGGGGCAGACUGGGACCAUCAGUCACCCUAGCAGGGGACAGUAGGGAUCCCCUGGCUGUUUCUUUAGCAACCUGAGCGGCUCACUUGGGAGGCUGCAUGGCCGAGCAGGCGAAGCACUUACAGUGGAAGCGAGGCCUGUGAUGCUGUCAACUUGCUUCUUAACCCUAGGAUGCUGUGAGAAUUAAAUUACAUAGUAGCUGCAAAAUAAUUUGGCUUUCUUGGAGUUGGACACCACCUGAACCUGAGUGAAAUGAUUGUGCACUUCUUAAUGGCCUCCAUCUCUGGCCAAGCUGCCUUGGGACCAGAACAAUCAUCUAAGUCCCAGUUUCCAGCCUAAAACAGCAUGAGGACAAGGCCAGGAGGCCACAGCAAGGCUGUAAUCAGAACCCACAAGGAUUGCAUGGAGAUGCUGCAGUGCCGCCACCACCCAACGGCCGGAGCCCCCAGCAAAGAGUUUUCCACAAAAUGGGAGAAAAGUAUAAGAAGCUCUUCCUGCUAUGGAGCCCCAAUACAAUGCUUCGUACCUAGAAGGCUCUCAGAAACAGAAAUCUGGUGAAUUAGUUAAAUUAUAUGCUUCUCUGCCCUCUGCCCUCCAUAAGAAAAAAAGAAAAGACCUAUAAAAGGCAUUCUGAACACUGGAGUUUGGCUCCUGUUUACCAUGUACAUCUAGAGAAGUGUACAAUUCGUGCUUGUAUGAAAUAAUGAAUGUUCACAAAGUGAGUAUACUUCUGUAAGCACUGCCUAAAUCAAAAGCAGCAAUGUGACCAGCCCCCCGGCCACCCUUGGUGCUCUCCCAAGCACUCCUCCACCAUCCUCUCCAACUGCAACCGCUAUCCUGAUUUCUAACACCCUAGGGGAGUUUUGCCUAGUUUUAAAUUUUACAUGAAUGGAGUCUCAUCAUAUGUAUUACUUUUACACUCAUAAUAUUUUCAAGAUAAGGAUAAAAAGCAAAAUUUUGGUCUUAUCACAAAGAUAUACCUGAGAUACACGAUCUUUAGAUUCUAAAUGACAAAGACUGAACUAAUCUAAAGGACAAAAAUGCAAACUGCAUUUUCACUUCUGGCUAAACUGAAUUUUUAAAAAAUUUCUCUUAUGCUUUCUUAUGUUUUAAUGAUCAUUCAUGAUAUUGCUUAAUUUCAGAGCAUAGAAAAUUGUGAAGUACAGUAGCAAAGACAUGGAAUCAACCUAAAUGCCCAUCAGUGGUUGACUAGAUAAAGAAAAUGUGGUACAUAUACACCAUAGAGUACUAUGCAGCCAUAAAAAGGAUGAUAUCAUGUCCUUUGCAGGAACGUGGAUGGAGCUGGAGGCCGUUAUCCUUAGCAAACUAAUGCAGGAACAGAAAACCAAAUACUGCUUGUUCUCAUUUGGAAACAAGGCAACUCAGAGGACUGAGAGACUCAGGACUUCCAGACAGAGGAUCAGGCGUACCUCAUGCAUGGGUGUUUUGGAAGAAGGCCAUUUUGAAACCUACUCUGUAUCAUUACAGACUUUCAGUGAAUUAAUUUAGAAUAAAUCCACCUCCUUCCCUGUAUGUGGUAGAAUUUCACUGGGAUACAACGUGAGGACAGAGAUUUGAACCCUCAGUCCCACUUAUGAUGCGGGGCUUCAGGGGCACCACGGACAUGCUCCGCAUUCACCCAUCUGUGGGGGAGGACUAAGGAAGCUGCGCUGGUGUGUGAGAAAGUAAUGGGCUCUUUUAAGCCCUUUUACUUAAAGCAAUAAAAGAAUAACUGCGUCA